CCUAACUCAUCAACAAAGAUCUCCUACAUUUAUAGGAUCAAUAGUAUCGCAAGAAAAAUCAUAUACUUAAUCAUGGCCAAGAUGAGUAUGUUUCUUUGCUUCUUCUUGUUUGUCUUGGUUUCCAUGCCAAUCUCGUCUUCCAACAGGAUGAUACUGGAAGAGGAUCCGGUGGUGGUAGUAGACAAAUGCCUGACAUUUGUAUGCUCUUGCCCACCGUGCAGAAUUGGUGAGAUGGCGACAACGAAAAAAAAACAAUAACCAUAUCAACAAAGGAGUGCAUAUGUAACUUCCCACAA